GGGGUGGGGAUGCGCAUACUCAGUUUUCUUCCAUUUGUGGAAGCCCUGGACCAGAAAACGGUAUGAUCCAGUGGAUGGGACAUCUCAUCUCAGCUAACCCAAUCUAGGGCUUAUGAAUUCGAAGUCUACUGUUCGCCCCAAAUAUGAAAACGCUGGCCACAUUCAAUGCAGCUGAUCUAUUUCCAGGGCAGUUGGAUAUCUGAGCGGGUAUAUAAGACUGGAAACCAAAUGCUGGGUCUACAGGAAAUGAAGUUCUGAGGCAGGCGGGUUGGGAAUGCAAAUCUCAUGAUGACAGCUUUUGUUACAUACUAGAAACAAGG
rnacentral:sRNA from 1 species